rnacentral:lncRNA from 1 species
AAGUUAUAGAGAUGAAUUUAAUCAUUUUGUCCCAUCGUUAUAGAAUAAUCUUCAGAGAUAGCUAUAAUUGAGAGAAAACUUAAGUUAACAACAAACUUGCUCGUUAUAUCUAUUUUCUCUUUCCCUUUUGAUUUGAUUUUUUCCCUUGAAACGCCGGGCUAUUCCUUCAAUUGUUUAUGGUAUGUUGUUUUCAAGUGCAGGACCUUCAUCGUUAAUUUUUUUUUUUUGUGUGGUAAUUGAAAAUUAUUUACCGUCUGUGUUGCUUAUCUUUGUAGGAUUCAGCACAAUCAAUUAAUGAUAAUUGACGCGGUAAGCCAUGUAUUUUGGAUUUUUACAACCUCAGUUGUUAUUUUAGACGCGCGGGUUUGUCAAAGAUAUUUUUGUCAAGGCCAAUAAGGAGCAUUAAAUAGGAUGGAC